CGGGGUGAGUAACGCGUGGGUAACCUGCCCUGUAUACACGGAUAACAUACCGAAAGGUAUGCUAAUACGGGAUAACAUAAGAAAUUCGCAUGUUUUUCUUAUCAAAGCUCCGGCGGUACAGGAUGGACCCGCGUCUGAUUAGCUAGUUGGUGAGGUAAUGGCUCACCAAGGCGACGAUCAGUAGCCGACCUGAGAGGGUGAUCGGCCACAUUGGAACUGAGACACGGUCCAA
rnacentral:rRNA from 1 species